AGAGCGAACGCUGGCGGCAGGCCUAACACAUGCAAGUCGAGCGCCCGUAGCAAUACGGGAGCGGCAGACGGGAGAGUAACACGUGGGAACGCGCCCUUCGGUUCGGAAUAACUCAGGGAAACUUGAGCUAAUACCGGAUACGCCCUUACGGGGAAAGAUUUAUUGCCGAAGGAACGGCCCGCGUCCGAUUAGCUAGUUGGUGAGGUAAUGGCUCACCAAGGCGACGAUCGGUAGCU
rnacentral:rRNA from 1 species